rnacentral:rRNA from 1 species
ACUUUCAACAACGGAUCUCUUGGCUCUCGCAUCGAUGAAGAACGUAGCGAAGUGCGAUAAGUAAUGUGAGUUGCAGAAUUCCGUGAGUCAUCGAAUCUUUGAACGCAAGUUGCACUCUCUGGUAUUCCGGGGAGUAUGCCUGUUUGAGGGUCAGU